rnacentral:rRNA from 1 species
UACGGAGGGUGCAAGCGUUAAUCGGAAUUACUGGGCGUAAAGCGCACGUAGGCGGUUUGUUAAGCUAGAUGUGAAAGCCCCGGGCUUAACCUGGGAAUAGCAUUUAGAACUGGCAGGCUAGAGUUUUGGAGAGGGUGGUAGAAUUUCCAGUGUAGCGGUGAAAUGCGUAGAGAUUGGAAGGAAUACCAGUGGCGAAGGCGGCCACCUGGCCAAAAACUGACGCUGAGGAGCGAAAGCGUGGGGAGCAAACAGG